rnacentral:rRNA from 1 species
CAGUAGCCGCGGUAAUACGAGGGGUGCAGGCGUUAUUCGGAUUGAUUGGGUGUAAAGGGUGUGCAGACGGCUUAUUAAGUCACUUGUUAAAUUCCUCGGCCUAACUGAAGGUCUGCAAGUGAUACUGAUGAGCUAGAGGGUGGAAGAGAGAAGUGGAAUUCUCGGAGUAGCGGUAAAAUGCGUAGAUCUCGAGAGGAACACCAAUGGCGAAGGCAGCUUCUUGGUCCAUUCCUGACGUUCAUACACGAAAGCGUGGGGAGCAAACAGGAUUAGAUACCCGGGUAGUCCCUGUCUCUUAUAC